rnacentral:rRNA from 1 species
UCCGUAGGUGAACCUGCGGAAGGAUCAUUAGUGAUUUGGCUGAGAGGCCUUUAUCCAAUCCUCACACCUGUGAACUUGUCGGAGGGCUGGUCCCUCUGUCACCACAAACAAUGUGUAAUGAAUGUAACAUAUAUAACAAUAAACAAAACUUUCAACAACGGAUCUCUUGGCUCUCGCAUCGAUGAAGAACGCAGCGAAAUGCGAUAAGUAAUGUGAAUUGCAGAAUUCAGUGAAUCAUCGAAUCUUUGAACGCACCUUGCGCCUCUUGGUAUUCCGAGAGGCAUGCCUGUUUGAGUGUCAUGAAACAUCAAUCCCCAGGGUUUCUUUGCCUUGGUGGACUUGGACUUGGGCGUCUGCCAGACCUGGCUCGCCUCAAAUGACUCAGUGGGAACUUCUUGACCCAUGCCUGACGUGAUAAGUUUCGUCUUGGCCAGUCCUGAGGCCUGCUCACAACCCCCCAUAUCUUUUUGCCAUUGACCUCAAAUCAGGUAGGACUACCCGCUGAACUUAAGCAUAUCAAUAAGCGGAGGA